GUUCUUGGUUCACCCGAUUCGAACGUUAUCACUCGAUUGAAUGGGGCGUUAUCAGCGGUUAUCAGCCCAUAGAAAUGGGCCAGGAGGGGCCUCCUGCGCCUACUAGUAGGCUCAGAAGGCCGUGAUCAUCCAUCCAAAUGGUUGAUCACCCACAAAUAUACAAGAGAAGACUCCAGAUCCAAUCCCAGAAUUCCUGCUCACCUGUAAUCGGAAGUCUACUGGACGAAAGCGGCAACGUUGCGAUAUUUCCUGCUUAAUAUUUUCAGCAUACAUUUCCAGCUGGUUGCAAGGACUUCUGUGGCAAGUUUGUUUUAUUACUUCCAUGCUCUAUGUCUUUGUUGAACUAUCCAAAAUUUGGUUUUGGGCUGUUUAGAAUUUAUUGUUCACAAAUCUGUCUUGGGCAAGUUUCUCUCUGUUUAUGUUUUAGGUUGAAGAUGGCCCAGAGAGGUAAGCCUUACAGUUGCUGAUCUAGAAGCAUUAGGCAAGAGUGUCUGAGAACGAUGGUAUGAUCUGCAACACUGUCUUUUUUUUAUUACUGAUUUAUUACUGACUAUCUAUUUCUUUCUUUGUUGUUAUUCACCAAGAGAGAACUCCCAUUAAUGGGAAUCAAAAGGAAACCCUGAAAUCAUGUUUUAAGGAUGGAAUGACAUGAGUUGGUUCAGAAUUAUUACCAAGAGCUGCAUCAGCUAGCUACUGGUUUGGACACCAGUGUCGUAGAAAUAAGGUUUACUUUUGUGCCACACUAACAAACAUCAUGUCAAAUAAAUAUAUCAUUCUGCUGCACUGCUUGUAUAAAUGAAGUGUUUUGUUAACAUUCGGUUUAAUUGGUGUAAUACCCUUUUGCUAUUUUUUUGUUUUUCAGAACUGGAUUGGAAAUUACAAAAGAUCACAAAUGACUAAUGCUUCGUCUGAGCCCUGGUCAUCAAAGGCCAAAGUUCACAUUAGAGAGCUGUCGGAUUACAAUCUUUUUUAUAGGGACAUAUUCAAAAACAAAGGCACAAUGAAUGAUAUUAAGGGCAGGUGCGCCACAUUGGGGGAAGAUGCAAAGCAAAAAUACAUUCAAGAGGCAGCAGCACUGAGGGCACAUGAGAUGGAGGCAAUUUGUGCUGUGUCUGCUGCGUCCAUUUUUAUGAUAAGAAGAAGAAUGCAAGAAAGAAGUGGCAUUCAUGGUCUCAGUGCACAGUGUGCCAAUCAUGGUCACACACAGCAUGUGGCUUUAAAAAGAACAUGUGCGUUCACUGCCAGGGUCAAGACACCAUGCUAACACCCUGAAGAUGUAUCUUGUUACUUGUUUGAGUUGUUUUUACUGUGUUGACGGCCCCCAACCCAUACAUACAAGCACACACAUACACACAAUACAUACAUAUGCUGCAAAUUCAUUGUAAUGACCAUACUUCACACGUAAGAAGAAAAUUGUGAUCUUUUUGUUAUUUUCAUUCACCCCAUUUUUAUUUAUUAUUGUUGUUUGUUGGCACCAUCAAUGUGUUCUCCUUUAUACAGGACUUAUGUGGGGACCAAUAAAGUUAUAUUGUACUGAA